rnacentral:rRNA from 1 species
AUUGAACGCUGGCGGCAUGCUUUACACAUGCAAGUCGAACGGUAACAGGCCGCAAGGUGCUGACGAGUGGCGAACGGGUGAGUAAUGCAUCGGAACGUGCCCAGUCGUGGGGGAUAACGCAGCGAAAGCUGCGCUAAUACCGCAUACGAUCUAUGGAUGAAAGCGGGGGACCGUAAGGCCUCGCGCGAUUGGAGCGGCCGAUGUCAGAUUAGGUAGUUGGGGGGGUAAAGGCUCACCAAGCCAACGAUCUGUAGCUGGUCUGAGGGGACGACCAGCCACACUGGGACUGAGACACGGCCCAGACUCCUACGGGAGGCAGCAGUGGGGAAUUUUGGACAAUGGGCGCAAGCCUGAUCCAGCAAUGCCGCGUGCAGGAAGAAGGCCUUCGGGUUGUAAACUGCUUUUGUACGGAACGAAACGGCUCUGGUUAAUACCUGGGGCUAAUGACGGUACCGUAAGAAUAAGCACCGGCUAACUACGUGCCAGCCGCCGCCGUAAUAC